GGAGUGGAACUGCCUGGCUCCCUGUAUGCCACCUGCGGGGCUUGCCAAAGUGAUUGUCGAGCUGCAUAGCUGGCAUCCAGGGAGCCAGACAGACCUCCU
rnacentral:pre_miRNA from 1 species